UACGUAGGGGGGCAAGCGUUGUCCGGAUUUAUUGGGCGUAAAGAGCGUGUAGGCGGCUAGGUAGGUCCGUUGUGAAAACUCGAGGCUCAACCUCGAGACGUCGAUGGAAACCAUCUAGCUAGAGUCCGGAAGAGGAGAGUGGAAUUCCUGGUGUAGCGGUGAAAUGCGCAGAUAUCAGGAAGAACACCGGUGGCGAAGGCGGCGCUCUGGACCGAGACUGACGCUGAGGCGCGAAAGCGUGGGGAGCAAACAGG
rnacentral:rRNA from 1 species